rnacentral:rRNA from 1 species
GUGGACCCACCUGAAUCCAUUCCGAACUCAGAAGUGAAACGCUGUAAUGCCGAUGGUAGUGUGGGGUAUCCCCAUGUGAGAGUAGGGCACCGCCAGGU